GGACCAUAACGCGCUUACGUUCGAAGAUUCGCGGCACGUCGAGAGCCACACACGCUUUUUUCCUUUUAUGAGCCAGUCGCAGCCCGAACCCCUCCACGCAUGCGCCGUCCUUCCUGUGUGACGUGCCGCGCUACUCCUUGGGAAAUGUAGUUUUUACUUUGUCACCCUAGUCCGGAGUCCGCAGCUGUACCUUAUUUUAACAAACUAGGGUCUUUGUGUGUUUUCAGUAGCCUCUUAUUUCCCAAAGCCUCUAUAAGAUAAUAAAAUUUUUUUGUGAAACCCCACGUUUCUCCAAAAGAUAAAUUCUAUUUUUAAAAAGUUUUAAUAAACAUCUGUGGACGCAGAAAUAGCACUUUUAAGGAGUCUUCUCAGGACCAUAUUAAGGACACACCCACAUUGUAAUUAUUUGGAUUGUGGUGAUGGACAUUUAAAUCGCCUCCAACUACUGGCUACAAGAGAUAACAGCACAGUGAACAGUCUCAUGCCUGCCCUCUUGUGGCCAAUAGUUCCAUUGCUGAGGACAAUCAGUGCUCACACCUCUCCCUCCUCUUUGCUUUCUUCCUGCUCAGAACUGACUCUGUGCAUGGGGGCUUCUGGCACCUUCUAUGGAAAAUUCCAAGUCUCUCAAAGGACGGAACAAACUUUUGACCUCUCUGGGAGCAGACAAAGCAACAGCAGAACAACCUAAGGAACAUCUGUUGACAUGACUUCAUGGGCUUGUAAUCAACAGCAUCCACCUUCUCAGAAGGUCCCUGACCCAAAUUUUGCCCUUAAAAACCCUCACUUGUAGGCCAUUGGGGAGUUUGGGACGUUUGAGCACUAGCUCCCCGUUCUCCUGGAUCGCACCACACCAGUAAAUA